AUUGAACGCUGGCGGCAGGCCUAACACAUGCAAGUCGAACGAGCGGCGGACGGGUGAGUAAUGUCUGGGAAUCUGCCUGAUGGAGGGGGAUAACUACUGGAAACGGUGGCUAAUACCGCAUACUAUCAGAUGUGCCCAUAUGGGAUUAGCUUGUUGGUGGGGUAAAGGCUCACCAAGGCUACGAUCCCUAGCUGGUCUGAGAGGAUGAUCAGCCACACUGGAACUGAGACACGGGCCAGACUCCGACGGGAGGCAGCAGUGGGGAAUAUUGCACAAUGGGCGCAAGCCUGAUGCAGCCAUGCCGCGUGUAUGAAGAAGGCCUUCGGGUUGUAAAGUACUUUCAGCGGGGAGGCGUUACCCGCAGAAGAAGCACCGGCUAACUCCGUGCCAGCAGCCGCGGUAAUAC
rnacentral:rRNA from 1 species